rnacentral:lncRNA from 1 species
AGGAUUUUCAUUCUUAUCGACUACCUUGGAGCUUGUGGUAUAGGAACUAGGUUGUUAUAUUUGUUGAUUACUUCCUUGUCUCUCAAAGAACCCAUUCUUUGAGUUCUAUCUCUCGUUCAUUUGCUCUUAGGCAAAUCACAUUGUAGGAUUACAAUGAACUUCCCAACAAAACAACAUUUGUUAGUUGGUUUAUAGAAGCGAUAUCCAAAAGUUAUUUUAAGGAUAUCCUACAA